AUAUUGCACAAUGGGGGAAACCCUGAUGCAGCGACGCCGCGUGGAGGAAGAAGGUCUUCGGAUUGUAAACUCCUGUUGUUGAGGAAGAUAAUGACGGUACUCAACAAGGAAGUGACGGCUAACUACGUGCCAGCAGCCGCGGUAAAACGUAGGUCACAAGCGUUGUCCGGAAUUACUGGGUGUAAAGGGAGCGCAGGCGGGAAGACAAGUUGGAAGUGAAAUCUAUGGGCUCAACCCAUAAACUGCUUUCAAAACUGUUUUUCUUGAGUAGUGCAGAGGUAGGCGGAAUUCCCGGUGUAGCGGUGGAAUGCGUAGAUAUCGGGAGGAACACCAGUGGCGAAGGCGGCCUACUGGGCACCAACUGACGCUGAGGCUCGAAAGUGUGGGUAGCAAACAGGAUUAGAUACCCUGGUAGUCCACACCGUAAACGAUGAUUACUAGGUGUUGGAGGAUUGACCCCUUCAGUGCCGCAGUUAACACAAUAAGUAAUCCACCUGGGGAGUACGACCGCAAGGUUGAAACUCAAAGGAAUUGACGGGGGCCCGCACAAGCAGUGGAGUAUGUGGUUUAAUUCGACGCAACGCGAAGAACCUUACCAAGUCUUGACAUCCUGCGACGCACAUAGAAAUAUGUGUUUCCUUCGGGACGCAGAGACAGGUGGUGCAUGGUUGUCGUCAGCUCGUGUCGUGAGAUGUUGGGUUAAGUCCCGCAACGAGCGCAACCCUUACUGUCAGUUACUACGCAAGAGGACUCUGGCAGGACUGCCGUUGACAAAACGGAGGAAGGUGGGGAUGACGUCAAAUCAUCAUGCCCUUUAUGACCUGGGCUACACACGUACUACAAUGGCGUUUAACAAAGAGAAGCAAAGCCGCGAGGCAGAGCAAAUCUCCAAAAAACGUCUCAGUUCGGAUUGUAGGCUGCAACUCGCCUACAUGAAGUCGGAAUUGCUAGUAAUCGCAGAUCAGCAUGCUGCGGUGAAUACGUUCCCGGGCCUUGUACACACCGCCCGUCACACCAUGAGAGCCGGGGGGACCCGAAGUCGGUAGUCUAACCGCAAGGAGGACGCCGCCGAAGGUAAAACUGGUGAUUGGGGUGAAGUCGUAACAAGGUAGCCGUAGGAGAACCUGCGGCUG
rnacentral:rRNA from 1 species